AGGGAGAGAACAGGCUUUGACCGAUAGUAACCCCUGCGCUCAGCGCAGCGGAAUCUAUAAAAGGAACUAGUCGCGGCAAAAUCCCGGUAAUUCUGAGGAAGAGUGAGUGCGGCCGGGGCCGGAGGAGCGGCGCCGACACCUCUCUCCCCGGGCGCAGGUGGGCAGAACAGGGGGCGCCGCGUGACCAGCGCCGCCACAGCCCAUUUCUCGGCGGCGCUUUGCUCCCUUUCCCCCACUUCUUUCCCAGAAGGGUUUUUCAAGGGGUGGGGGAAAGAGCCGGAAACAAAAAGUGGAAAACAGUUAAUGACCAGCCACAGCGUCCCCACUGUGAGCUCCGGCCACUUCCUCCACGGGCUCCCGAGCCUCACGCAGGCUCUGUGGUGUCGGCUGAGGUAACAUGGCUUGUUGGCCUCAGCUGAGGUUGCUGCUGUGGAAGAACCUCACUUUCAGAAGAAGACAAACAUGUCAGCUGUUGCUGGAAGUGGCCUGGCCUCUAUUUAUCUUCCUGAUCCUGAUCUCCGUGCGGCUGAGCUACCCACCCUAUGAACAACAUGAAUGCCACUUUCCAAACAAAGCCAUGCCCUCUGCAGGAACACUUCCUUGGGUUCAGGGGAUUAUCUGUAAUGCCAAUAACCCCUGUUUCCGUUAUUCGACUCCUGGUGAGGCUCCCGGGGUUGUUGGAAACUUUAACAAGUCCAUUGUGUCUCGCCUGUUCUCAGAUGCUCGGCGACUUCUUUUGUACAGCCACAGAGACACCAGCCUGAAGAACAUUCGCCAAGUUCUAAGGACAUUAUACCAGAUCGAGCGUUCCAGCUCAGCAGGCUUGAAGUUUCAGGACUUCCUGGUAGACAAUGAAACCUUCUCUGGAUUCCUGCAUCACAACCUCUCUCUGCCAAGGCCAACUGUGGACAAGAUUCUGGGGGCUGGUGUCAGUCUCCGCAAGGUAUUUUUGCAAGGCUACCAGUUACAUUUGAGCAAUCUGUGCAAUGGAUCAAAAUUAGGAGAGCUGAUUCAACUUGGUGACCAAGAAGUCUCCAUGCUUUGCAGCCUGCCAAAGGAGAAACUGGAUGCAGCGGAGCAAAUACUUCAUUCCAAUCUGGACAUUCUGAAGCCAAUCCUGACAGAACUAAACUCCACAUCUCCCUUCCCCAGCAAGGAGCUGGCUGAAGCCACAAAAACUUUGCUGGAUAGUCUUGGGAUUGUGGCUCAAGAGCUGUUCAGCAUGAGGAGCUGGAGUGACAUGCGGCAGGAGGUGAUGUUUCUGACCAACGUGAACAGCUCCAGCUCCUCCACCCAGAUCUACCAGGCCGUGUCCCGCAUCGUCUGUGGCCAUCCCGAGGGUGGGGGCCUGAAGAUCAAGUCCCUUAACUGGUAUGAGGACAACAACUACAAAGCCCUCUUUGGAGGCAACGGCACUGAGGACGAUGCUGGCACCUUCUAUGACAAUUCUACAACUCCUUAUUGCAAUGAUUUGAUGAAGAAUCUGGAGUCCAGUCCUCUUUCCCGCAUCAUAUGGAAAGCUCUCAAGCCCCUGCUUGUUGGGAAGAUCCUGUAUACACCUGACACUCCAGUCACAAGGCAGGUUAUGGCUGAGGUGAAUAAGACCUUCCAGGAACUGGCUGUGUUUCAUGAUCUGGAAGGCAUGUGGCAAGAGCUCAGCCCCAAGAUCUGGACCUUCAUGGAGAGCAGCCCAGAAGUGGACCUUGUCCGGACGCUAUUGGACAGCAGAGGCAAUGACCACUUCUGGGAACAACGAUUGGAAGGCUUAGAUUGGACAGCCAGAGAUAUCGUGGCAUUUCUGGCCAAGCACCCAGAGGAAGUGCAGUCCACUAAUGGCUCUGUGUACACCUGGAGAGAAGCCUUCAAUGAGACCAGCCAGGCAAUCCAGAGCAUCUCUCGCUUCAUGGAGUGUGUGAACCUGAACAAGCUGGAACCAGUGGCAACAGAGGUUCUGCUCAUCAACAAGUCCAUGGAGCUACUGGAUGAGCGGAAGUUCUGGGCUGGGAUCGUGUUCACUGGAAUUGCUCCUGGAAGUGUCGAGCUGCCCCAUCACGUCAAGUACAAGAUCCGGAUGGAUAUUGACAAUGUGGAGAGGACGAAUAAGAUCAAGGAUGGGUACUGGGACCCCGGUCCUCGGGCUGACCCAUUUGAGGAUAUGCGGUACGUCUGGGGGGGCUUCGCGUACUUGCAGGAUGUGGUGGAGCAGGCAAUCAUCAGGGUGCUGACGGGCACAGAGAAGAAAACUGGCAUCUACAUGCAGCAGAUGCCCUACCCCUGUUACGUUGAUGACAUCUUCCUGCGGGUCAUGAGCCGGUCAAUGCCCCUCUUCAUGACGUUGGCCUGGAUUUACUCUGUGGCUGUGAUCAUCAAGGGCAUCGUGUACGAGAAGGAGGCGCGGCUGAAGGAGACCAUGCGCAUCAUGGGCCUGGACAACAGCAUCCUCUGGUUCAGCUGGUUCAUCAGCAGCCUCAUCCCCCUGCUUGUGAGCGCCGGCCUGCUGGUGGUCAUCCUGAAGUUAGGAAACCUGCUGCCCUACAGCGACCCCAGUGUGGUGUUUGUCUUUCUGUCCGUGUUCGCUGUGGUGACCAUCCUGCAGUGCUUUCUGAUCAGCACGCUCUUCUCCAGAGCCAACCUGGCGGCAGCCUGUGGAGGCAUCAUUUACUUCAUGCUGUACCUGCCCUACGUCCUGUGUGUGGCGUGGCAAGACUACGUGGGCUUCACACUCAAGAUCUUUGCGAGCCUGCUGUCUCCUGUGGCUUUUGGGUUUGGCUGUGAGUACUUCGCCCUUUUUGAGGAGCAGGGCAUUGGGGUGCAAUGGGACAACCUUUUUGAGAGCCCCGUGGAGGAAGACGGCUUCAACCUCACCACCUCGGUCUCCAUGAUGCUGUUUGACACCUUCCUCUACGGGGUGAUGACAUGGUACACCGAGGCUGUGUUUCCAGGCCAAUAUGGAAUCCCCAGGCCCUGGUAUUUCCCUUGUACUAAGUCCUACUGGUUUGGCGAGGAAAGCAAUGAGAAGAGCCACCCUGGUUUCAGCCAGGAGGGAACAUCAGAAAUCUGCAUGGAGGAGGAACCCACCCACCUGAAGCUGGGCGUGUCCAUUCAGAACCUGAUGAAGGUUUACCGAGAUGGCAUGAAGGUGGCAGUUGAUGGCCUGGCCUUGAAUUUCUAUGAGGGCCAGAUCACCUCCUUCCUGGGCCACAAUGGAGCUGGGAAGACCACCACCAUGUCAAUCCUGACUGGGUUGUUCCCUCCCACCUCGGGCACUGCCUACAUCCUGGGGAAAGACAUUCGCUCUGAGAUGAGCACCAUCAGGCAGAACCUGGGGGUCUGUCCCCAGCAUAACGUGCUGUUUGACAUGCUGACUGUUGAAGAGCACAUCUGGUUUUACGCCCGCCUGAAAGGGCUCUCGGAGAAGCACGUGGAAGCAGAGAUGGAGCAGAUGGCCCUGGAUGUUGGUUUGCCGCCAAGCAAACUGAAAAGCAAAACAAGUCAGCUGUCAGGUGGAAUGCAGAGAAAGCUGUCUGUGGCCUUGGCCUUUGUCGGGGGAUCCAAGGUUGUCAUUCUGGAUGAGCCCACAGCCGGCGUGGACCCUUACUCCCGCAGGGGAAUAUGGGAGCUGCUGCUGAAAUAUCGACACGGCCGCACCAUUAUUCUCUCCACACACCACAUGGAUGAAGCGGACAUCCUGGGGGACAGGAUUGCCAUCAUUUCCCAUGGGAAGCUGUGCUGCGUGGGCUCCUCCCUGUUCCUGAAGAACCAGCUGGGGACAGGUUACUACCUGACCCUGGUCAAGAAGGACGUGGAGUCCUCCCUCAGCUCGUGCAGAAAUAGCAGUAGCACUGUGUCGUACCUGAAAAAGGUGGUGCCUGAGCUUCCCCCAGCUGGGCAGAGUGGAGGCAGAGGAGGAGAGGUGCAGAGGCUGGUGGCGCUGACUCAAGAUGUCUCUGCGAUCUCCAACCUCAUCAGGAAGCAUGUGGCCGAGGCCCGGCUGGUGGAAGACAUUGGGCAUGAGCUGACCUACGUGCUGCCCUAUGAAGCCGCCAAAGAGGGAGCCUUUGUGGAACUCUUCCAUGAGAUUGAUGACCGGCUCUCAGACCUGGGCAUCUCCAGUUAUGGAAUCUCAGAGACUACCCUGGAAGAAAUAUUUCUCAAAGUGGCUGAAGAGAGUGGGGUGGAUGCUGAGACCUCAGAUGGCACGCUACCGGCAAGACGAAACAGACGGGUCUUCGGGGACAAGCAGAGCUGUCUUCGCCCAUUUACUGAAGAUGAUGCCGUUGAUCCAAAUGAUUCCGACAUAGAUCCAGAAUCCAGAGAAACAGACCUGCUCAGCGGAAUGGACGGCAAAGGCUCCUACCAGGUGAAGGGCUGGAAACUCACACAGCAGCAGUUUGGGGCCCUUUUGUGGAAGAGGCUGCUGAUUGCCAGACGGAGUCGGAAGGGAUUCUUUGCUCAGAUUGUCCUGCCUGCUGUGUUUGUCUGCAUUGCCCUGGUGUUCAGCUUGAUCGUGCCACCCUUUGGCAAGUACCCCAGCCUGGAACUUCAGCCCUGGAUGUACAACGAACAGUACACAUUCGUCAGUAAUGAUGCUCCUGAGGACGUGAGCACCCAGGAACUCUUGAGUGCUCUCACUGGAAAGCCUGGCUUCGGGACCCGAUGUAUGGAAGGAAACCCAAUCCCAGACAUGCCCUGCUCGGUGGGGGAGGAGGAGUGGACCACCACCCCAGUCCCCCAGACCAUCACAGACCUCUUCAGAAAUGGGAACUGGACGAUGGAGAACCCCUCCCCCACCUGCCAGUGUAGCAGCGACAAAAUCAAGAAGAUGCUGCCCGUGUGUCCCCUGGGGGCUGGGGGGCUGCCUCCUCCACAAAGAAAACAGAACACUGCGGACAUCCUUCAGAACCUGACGGGAAGAAACAUUUCGGAUUAUCUGGUGAAGACAUAUGUGCAGAUCAUAGCCAAAAGCUUAAAGAACAAGAUUUGGGUGAAUGAGUUUAGGUACGGUGGAUUUUCCCUGGGGGCCAGUAAUUCUCAUUCACUUCCUCCGAGUAAAGAAGUUAAUGAUGCCAUCAAGCAAAUGAAGAAACACUUGAAGGUGGCCAAGGACAGUUCUGCAGAUCGAUUUCUCAGCAGCUUGGGAAGGUUCAUGACAGGACUGGACACGAAAAAUAACGUCAAGGUGUGGUUCAACAACAAGGGCUGGCACGCCAUCAGCUCUUUCUUGAAUGUCAUCAACAAUGCCAUUCUCCGGGCCAACCUGCAGAAGGGAGAGAACCCUAGCCAGUAUGGGAUUACUGCCUUCAAUCACCCCCUGAACCUCACCAAGCAGCAGCUCUCGGAAGUGGCUCUGAUGACCACAUCAGUGGACGUCCUCGUGUCCAUCUGUGUCAUCUUUGCGAUGUCCUUCGUCCCAGCCAGCUUUGUCGUGUUCCUGAUCCAGGAGCGGGUCAGCAAAGCAAAGCACCUGCAGUUCAUCAGCGGAGUGAAGCCUGUCAUCUACUGGCUCUCCAAUUUUGUCUGGGACAUGUGCAACUAUGUGGUUCCUGCGACGCUGGUCAUUCUCAUCUUCAUCUGCUUCCAGCAGAAGUCCUAUGUGUCCUCCACCAACCUGCCUGUGCUAGCCCUUCUACUGUUGCUGUACGGGUGGUCCAUCACACCUCUCAUGUACCCAGCCUCCUUCGUGUUCAAGAUCCCCAGCACAGCCUACGUGGUCCUCACCAGUGUGAACCUCUUCAUCGGCAUCAAUGGUAGCGUGGCCACUUUUGUGCUGGAGCUCUUCACCAACAAUAAGCUGAAUAACAUCAAUGAUAUCCUGAAGUCGGUGUUCUUGAUCUUCCCACAUUUUUGCCUGGGACGGGGGCUCAUUGACAUGGUGAAAAACCAGGCAAUGGCUGAUGCCUUGGAAAGGUUUGGGGAGAAUCGCUUUGUCUCGCCACUGUCUUGGGACUUGGUGGGACGAAACCUCUUCGCCAUGGCUGUGGAAGGGGUGGUGUUCUUCCUCAUCACUGUGUUGAUCCAGUACCGAUUCUUCAUCAGGCCCAGACCUGUAAAGGCAAAGCUUUCUCCUCUGAAUGAUGAGGAUGAAGAUGUGAGGAGGGAGAGACAGAGAAUUCUUGAUGGUGGAGGACAGAAUGACAUCUUGGAAGUCAAGGAGCUGACUAAGGUAUAUAGAAGGAAGAGGAAACCUGCCGUCGACAGGAUUUGCGUUGGCAUUCCUCCUGGUGAGUGCUUUGGACUUCUAGGUGUCAAUGGGGCUGGGAAAUCAUCAACUUUCAAGAUGUUAACGGGAGAUACCACUGUUACCAGAGGAGAUGCUUUUCUUAACAAAAAUAGUAUCUUAUCAAACAUCCACGAAGUACAUCAGAACAUGGGCUAUUGCCCUCAGUUUGAUGCCAUCACAGAGCUGCUGACCGGAAGAGAACACGUGGAGUUCUUUGCGCUCUUGAGGGGCGUCCCGGAGAGAGAAGUCGGCAAGGUUGGUGAGUGGGCAAUUCGGAAACUGGGCCUCGUGAAGUAUGGAGAAAAAUAUGCUGGGGACUAUAGCGGAGGCAACAAGCGCAAGCUCUCGACGGCCAUGGCUUUGAUUGGCGGGCCUCCUGUGGUGUUUCUGGAUGAACCGACCACAGGCAUGGACCCCAAAGCCCGACGAUUCUUGUGGAAUUGUGCCUUAAGUAUCAUCAAGGAAGGGAGAUCAGUAGUGCUUACAUCUCAUAGUAUGGAAGAAUGUGAAGCUCUUUGCACUAGGAUGGCAAUUAUGGUCAAUGGGCGGUUCAGGUGUCUUGGCAGUGUCCAACAUCUGAAAAAUAGGUUUGGAGAUGGUUAUACAAUAGUCGUACGAAUAGCAGGGUCCAGCCCUGACCUGAAGCCUGUCCAGGAGUUCUUUGAACUCUCCUUCCCAGGAAGCGUGCUGAAGGAGAAGCACCGGAACAUGCUGCAGUACCAGCUUCCCUCUUCACUGUCUUCCCUGGCCAGGAUUUUCAGCAUCCUUUCCCAGAGCAAAAAGCGACUCCACAUAGAAGACUACUCUGUCUCUCAGACAACACUUGACCAAGUAUUUGUAAACUUUGCCAAGGACCAAAGUGAUGAUGACCACUUAAAGGACCUGUCAUUACACAAAAACCAGACAGUAGUGGAUGUUGCAGUUCUCACAUCUUUUCUGCAGGAUGAGAAAGUGAAAGAAAGUUAUGUAUGAAGAAUCCUGUUCAUACAGGGUGGCUAGAAGAAAGGAGGAACUAGACCUUCCUUUGCACUAUGUGAAGUGUUCCAGAGGAAAGAGCUGGAAGAUUUUGUGGGAAGAGAUACUCUUCUAGGUUCUGGGGAUACAGUGUUGAAGAAGGCCGAAUUCCUGCUCUAAUGAACUUGAAUUUCAAUGGAGAAGUUAUAUUCAUAUUCACAACAGAUGUGUGGGUAAAGAAAUAUAAUAAAUUCAGACAGCACUAAGUGCUAAGAAGAAAAUACAACACAGUAACAAUAACCACGGAGAGGUGUCAGGCCUCUGCGGAGUGACAUAAUGAGCUCAGAUGUGAAUAAAAUGAACAGGAGCCAACAUUUGAAGGCGGGUAGGAAGAAUGUUCCUGGAAGAAAGAACACUCGGUGCAAAAGCCCCAAGUGGGAAAAAUCUUGGCAAGUUGGGGAGCAAGGAGAGAAUUCCAGUGUCUCUGGAGUUGUAGGGAACGGAAUCAGAGAUGGCAGGAACCAGAACUUGCGGAGCCUUGUAGUCCAGUGUAAGGUACCUGGAUUUUAUUGUUCGUGCAAUGAGGAGCUACUGGAGAGUUUUAAACAAGGAAGUGGCUUGAUCUGUGUUUCAGAAAGAACUUUGCUGGUUAUAUGGGGAGAAAGGACAGUAGGGGGGCUAAGUAGGAGAGGAUGGUAGAUUGGGCCAGGAUGGUAGCAACAGACGUAGGAAGGAAUUAUAACGCUGAGGAUCUAUUUUAGAGAUACAGCCAACAGGACCUGCUGAUGGGCUGCAAAGGGGAUGAGGGAAAGAGAGAUAUCAAGGUGACUUCUAAUUUGUGACCCAAACUAGGUAGAUGGUUGUGUUCAAAAGGCAGUUAGUAUUUCAGUCUGCAGCUCGGAGGCAAGGAUGGGAAAAAAGAUAAAAAUGCGUGCAUCAUCGGCACACGUAUGGUACUUAAGCCUUUGGACUGAAUGAGCUUACCUAAAGAGAGGGAAGAGAGAGAGUAUUCUUGAGGCCUGAGACGCUACCCACAUUUAGAAGACACGCCAGCAAAGAAAAAAAGGACUCUCCAGUGGGGAGGAGGGAAAUCUAAGAGUAAGAUGCCAUGUAUUAAAGCUCAGAAUCAAGUGUAUUUGGGAAGGUAAGAAGUGGUCGAUUGUGUCCAACAUGGCUGAGAAGAUGAGCAAGGUAAAGGCAGCGGAAGACCAUUGAUUUUGGUAACAAAGAGAUCCUUGGUGACCUUCAGAAGAAUCAUUUCAGCAGACUGACAAAGCUGCAGGCCUAUCUGGAUUGGUUUCAGGGAAGAAUAAGAGGUAAGGUGGUGAGUAUACACAACUCUACAGAGAGUUUUGCUUUGAAGGGAAACAGAAAACAACAAUAGCUGGAUUACAAAACUUCUAUUUGGAUUCUUUUCUUGCCUGUUAAUAGUAUAGGCUGCACCUGAGCACCAUCUCACCUUUCCCUUCUGACUUUUUGUUUGUUUGGUUUUUAAUCCUUAGACAUUUCUUCUAUCAGGAGCCUAACACACUGUGUACCUUGUUUUCCGAAUUCCCUUUAGACAACUAAUUCAUAAUUUACUAUAUGUUUUAGAAAUGUAAAAUAAUAUAACUAUAAAUAUAGACUACAGUAUGUUUUAGAAACGUAAAAUAAUACAGCUAUAAAUUUACAAUAUGUCUUAGAAACAUAAUAUAGACUAUCAAAAGAGCUUGGAAAUACCAAACCUAGUUUUAGAAAGCAGAGGUAUACAACUAAAAUGGAAAUUAAAGGUGUUUCCAGGAAAACCCUAGCGUAUCUGUGGUGGUACUGAAAAAACCUUCCUUCUGGGAUUACUAUAAUGCUAUUUUCU